UUGCUUUGGCAGCACAUACACAAAAAUUGGAAUGCUACUGAGGAGAUUGUCAUGGCUGCUACUUAUGAAUGACAUGAAAAUUCAUGAAGCAUACCAUAUUUUU